UACGAAGGGGGCUAGCGUUGCUCGGAAUCACUGGGCGUAAAGCGCACGUAGGCGGCUUCUUAAGUCAGGGGUGAAAUCCUGGAGCUCAACUCCAGAACUGCCUUUGAUACUGAGGAGCUUGAGUCCGGGAGAGGUGAGUGGAACUGCGAGUGUAGAGGUGAAAUUCGUAGAGUAUUCGCAAGAACACCGAGUGGCGAAGGCGGCUCACUGGCCCGGUACGUGACGCUGACGGUGCGAAAGCGUGGGGAGCAA
rnacentral:rRNA from 1 species